rnacentral:snRNA from 1 species
AUACUUACCUGGUGCCGGGGCCUCGUUGACGACCGAGGACGAUCCCCCAGGGCGAGGCAUGGGCAUUGCAGUGCACUCGCGUUGACCCCUGCCACUACCCCAAACUUGAGCAGAUGGGGCAUGCAGAUUGC